CCGGCUGAGAAGAGCGCUCGCAUCCCCGCCUGCUGCGUCUCCACUCCCCGCAGCACCACCCGAACCUGCCCCGGAGGAGUCGCCCCCCUUCAGAUCUAGAGAAUCCUCUGGAAGGGACACCGAGCCGUCCACCAGAGAGCGAGCGUGUGAAGCAGACGAUCUGUGAUGCUUACCUGCACAUUUAAAUGAGUUGUUGCCUUCCUGUAGCCACUGCCUGUCUAUCUAUGAGCACGAAACGGACAGGAAAUGCAUCAAAAUCCCCCACUGACAUGCACAGGACAACAUCCACUGGUUGGUCUUCUAUCGGGCUUCGUCUGCACGACCUAGCGGGAGAUAAAGAUGCUCAUGGAUCUUAAGUGAUGGACGCUCA